rnacentral:rRNA from 1 species
GACGAACCGUGCGAACGUUGUUCGGAAUCACUGGGUUUAAAGGGCGCGUAGGCUGGCUGUCAAGUCAAGGGUGAAAUCCUGCGGCUCAACCGUAGAAGAGCCCCUGAUACUGACGGUCUGGAGGGAGGUAGGGGCGUGUGGAACUUCCGGUGGAGCGGUGAAAUGCGUAGAGAUCGGAAGGAACGCCGGUGGCGAAAGCGGCACGCUGGACCUCUACUGACGCUGAGGCGCGAAAGCCAGGGGAGCAAACGGG